rnacentral:rRNA from 1 species
GACGAACGCUGGCGGCGUGCUUAACACAUGCAAGUCGAACGGUGAAGCGCCUUCCUUUUUGGUGGGUGUGGAUGAGUGGCGAACGGGUGAGUAACACGUGAGUAACCUGCCCCCUUCUUCUGGAUAACCGCAUGAAAGUGUGGCUAAUACGGGAUAUUCUGGGUCUGUCGCAUGAUGGGUCUGGGAAAGAUAUUGUUUCGGUGGGGGAUGGGCUCGCGGCCUAUCAGCUUGUUGGUGGGGUGAUGGCCUACCAAGGCGGUGACGGGUAGCCGGCCUGAGAGGGUGGACGGUCACACUGGGACUGAGACACGGCCCAGACUCCUACGGGAGGCAGCAGUGGGGAAUAUUGCACAAUGGGCGCAAGCCUGAUGCAGCGACGCCGCGUGAGGGAUGGAGGCCUUCGGGUUGUGAACCUCUUUCGCCAGUGAAGCAGGCCUGCCUCGUUUGUGGGUGGGUUGACGCUAGCUGGAUAAGAAGCGCCGGCUAACUACGUG